rnacentral:rRNA from 2 species
AAUACAUGCAAGUCGAGCGGACAGAAGGGAGCUUGCUCCCGGACGUUAGCGGCGGACGGGUGAGUAACACGUAGGUAACCUGCCCCUUAGACUGGGAUAACUCCGGGAAACCGGAGCUAAUACGGGAUAAUAAAGAGAAUCACCUGAUUCUCUUUUGAAAGACGGUUUCGGCUGUCACUAAGGGAUGGGCCUGCGGCGCAUUAGCUAGUUGGUAAGGUAACGGCUUACCAAGGCGACGAUGCGUAGCCGACCUGAGAGGGUGAUCGGCCACACUGGGACUGAGACACGGCCCAGACUCCUACGGGAGGCAGCAGUAGGGAAUCUUCCGCAAUGGACGAAAGUCUGACGGAGCAACGCCGCGUGAGUGAGGAAGGCCUUCGGGUCGUAAAGCUCUGUUGUGAGGGAAGAACAAGUACCGGGGUAACUACCGGUACCUUGACGGUACCUCACCAGAAAGCCACGGCUAACUACGUGCCAGCAGCCGCGGUAAUACGUAGGUGGCAAGCGUUGUCCGGAAUUAUUGGGCGUAAAGCGCGCGCAGGCGGCUUCUUAAGUCUGAUGUGAAAUCUCGGGGCUCAACCCCGAGCGGCCAUUGGAAACUGGGAAGCUUGAGUGCAGAAGAGGAGAGUGGAAUUCCACGUGUAGCGGUGAAAUGCGUAGAUAUGUGGAGGAACACCAGUGGCGAAGGCGACUCUCUGGUCUGUAACUGACGCUGAGGCGCGAAA